GCAGCCUAUCUUUGUUGCGUAUGAAUGAAGGGUUGGAUAAAUUAAGACAAGUUAACAUGGCCCCUGUGCAAGGAUGACGUGCGAAUUCGUGAAGCAUUCCAUAUUUUU
rfam:Erinaceus europaeus unplaced genomic scaffold scaffold00171, whole genome shotgun sequence